GCAAGUGUUAUAAAGUCUAGAAUCCGUCUUUCAGUCCAAUCGAACAUACUAAACAUUUUCCUAUGAAUUCGAAGUUAUAGUAUCUGUACAGAAAAAUUGUAAAACACUAACUCCGCUAUUUUCCCCUUGAGAUGUGAAUAGUUUAUAACUUUUUCAACACACCUUCUCUAACAAAUCCAGCCUUCUCCAAUACUCUCUGAGAACCCUUAAUUCUCCAGUACGGUGUUGAAAAAGUAUACAUAUCAGGAAACUAACUUGACAAAGCACCAUUUUCACAGCCCUUGUAGUUAUCCCUUGCCCCCCAAUAUUGCACUGCUAUUGCAUACCCUAAAUCCGCCCUGCACCGAUCAUCUUUGGUGGCCGGAGAAAUCGAUAUGAGUCCAAUAGACCGGUCAUCGAUGCAAAUUGAUUUGAACCAAGUCCAACAUGCAGAUUUCUUUGCUGAAUGUUUAAGGCCUCUUCUUUAGAGGUCAGAGUAUUCCACCGGAAUAACCGGAUAAUCUAGUCGUUUCCGACCCAUAAAAGUACGUCGUUGGCAUCUGUUAGCCGGGACGGCCGAAUAGUGAUGCUUGCUGGAUUCAUGCCUGUGAGUUUGGAGGAUGAAAAGGGGAAGAAACUAUGGACUAUUGUGAUUACUGUAAUUUAUGUUUGUUGUGUGUAAGGUUUAAAAAAAGGCCAAAUUCAACUUAUAGUAAAGGGAAG
rnacentral:lncRNA from 1 species